rnacentral:lncRNA from 1 species
CCUGUCUGGGCAGUGAAGAGGGGCUGCUGGGAAGGUUGUGGCCGAGUGCUGGCCCACCUGAUUCCUUGGGUCCUACACAGAACAGAGCCUAGUUCUGAGGGAAUAGUCUCAGGGAUGGACUUUGGAUCACGCUGGGGGUUCCAACCUGGUUCCUCCACUUCACUUUUCUGAGCCACCAUUUACCAAUGAGUAUAAUUGUCCCUCCUCCCAGAUAGUUGAGAGGAUAGAAUUCAGUGAAUUUAUUAUACCAACCUCUUAGCACAGAGCCUGGCACAGAGCCACACACCAUCCACAUUUGCUGAGAAUGGAUGAAUGAAUGAACAGGUCCCUAAAGGACAGCUCCAUUUCCCACUUUUGUGCUUGUUCACCUGGGUUACCUUGUGGCACUGCAUUGAUCCUUCUCCUUCCCCCAACCAGUCCAUGCCGUUUCUAGUUCUCAGGCCAUCACCUCUGCCGGGAGCCCCUUCCCCCUCCCUUUCAUCUGGGUGCCGUCUCCUCUCCUGGUCAUCUUUUAGGAUCCAGCUUAGAUGUCCCUCCCUCUACCUGCAUUUCUGGCUUCCCUUUGUGCCUUCCUUGAACCUAAAGAGUUGUCAUUGUCUGUGCCUGCAAGCCCUGCCAGACAACGCAGAGUGUUCCCAGGUUAACUCAGCAUCAGAUGGGUAGUCUCAGGCCCCAACUCAGCUGAGUCCCAGCUUUCAGGUCCAGGGAGUAAGGAGUUGGGGUUCUGGGCAAUGCAUUUAAUUAGGAAGAAAAAAAGUAAGGCUGGGUGUGGUGGCUCACGCCUGUAAUCCUAACACUUUGAGAGGCUGAGAUGGGUGGAUCACUUGAGGCCAGGAGUUUGAGACCAUUCUGGCCAACAUGGCGAAACCCCAUCUCUACUAAAAAUACAAAAAUUAGCCGGGCGCGAUGGCACACACCUGUAAUCCCAGCUACUCAGGUGGCUGAGGUACGAGAAUCCUUGAGCCUGGGAGGCAGAGGUUGCAGUGAGCCAAGAUAGUGCCACUGCACUCCAGCCUGGGCGACAGAGCCAAACUCUGUCUCAAAAAAAAUAAUUCUUUUAAAAAAGUGAUUUUUAUCUCUUGUAUAAAUGAUACUGUAGCACCAGUAAUGAGAAUCC